GAUGAACGCUGGCGGCGUGCCUAAUACAUGCAAGUCGAACGCACAGCGAAAGGUGCUUGCACCUUUCAAGUGAGUGGCGAACGGGUGAGUAACACGUGGACAACCUGCCUCAAGGCUGGGGAUAACAUUUGGAAACAGAUGCUAUACCGAAUACAACUCAGUGUCGCAUGACACAAAGUUAAAAGGCGCUUUGGCGUCACCUAGAGAUGGAUCCGCUGUGCAUUAGUUAGUUGGUGGGGUAAAGGCCUAACAAGACAAGGAUGCAUAGCCGAGUUGAGAGACUGAUCGGCCACAUUGGGACUGAGACACGGCCCAAACUCCUACGGGAGGCUGCAGUAGGGAAUCUUCCACAAUGGGCGAAAGCCUGAUGGAGCAACGCCGCGUGUGUGAUGAAGGCUUUCGGGUCGUAAAGCACUGUUGUAUGGGAAGAACAGCUAGAAUAGGGAAUGAUUUUAGUUUGACGGUACCAUACCAGAAAGGGACGGCUAAAUACGUGCCAGCAGCCGCAGUAA
rnacentral:rRNA from 1 species